GGGGCUGGUGGUGCAGGAAGCCGCUCUGGGGGUGGAGUCCGUGGACCACCUCGAAGCCUGUGGGGUUCCCUGGGAAGCUGUCCUGACAUAGGUCCAGGCCAGGUGCCCGCAUGGCCAAGCUGACCGGCAGCCCCUGCCUGGGAUUCCCAAAGUGAGGAGGCUGGAACUGGAGUGGCAACGCCUGGAUGAGCUAAGGCCAGGCCCCGGCCUCGCAGACCCCUUUAACCACAUGUCACUCCCGGACUGGGUUCCACAGCCGGCUCAGCCACAGCCAGCCUCCACCUCACUGAGCUUCAGAUCCUCCGCCUGGCUGGGCAUGACAGCAGUGCCCGUGUGGUGGGGUGGGGUUGUCGGGGUGGCAUGGUGCCCGCUUAGGCAGUGUUCACUGCUGCUGCUAGGGAGGGCGCAGGGUGGUGGCCCCCAUCUAAGCCCGGGUCCCCUGGGCUGUUGGCAACUGCCGCUCCGGUUCUGCUGGCCGAACCCCUCCUGCCCUGGGAAGCCGCUUCCCAUGCUGUUGGGCACCAUUUCUCGCGGAAUUGCAUGAGCCCUUGUCUGAGGACCUCUGUGACUGAGUCCUUGAACCUUUCCAGGAGCUGCCUCAGGCUGGUCUGGUGGUUGCGGGAAAAGGGUUGAGUUGGGCACACCUGCACCUGGCAUGGGUGUGGCACGUGGGGAGGCAGGUGGCCAUGGCCUGUGACUUCCGUGGCCUGGCUCAGGAGUCCCAUCCCCAGGCGUCUCCACCUCUGCCCCUCCCACCUCUGCCCUUCCCACCUCUGCCCCCA
rnacentral:lncRNA from 1 species